GUGAAGCACAACAUUUCAUCUCUUUGAUUCUAGACACUAUCCUCAGAAAUUAGAUUUGAAAAAUGAGCUUCAUUUUCGAAGAACAUAUUUCUUUAUAGGGGGAGAAUAAUUGACUCCAUUCAAGUGUUCGCUCCUGUUUCAAUCAACUAUGGCUGAAGAGUGAGGAGACAUUUGGAAUAAAUAUGGCUUCUGGGGGCCCAUUCCUAUGGAUCAGCAGCUGGCUUCUGGAGGCCCAUUCCUGUGAAUCGUCGAUCUCAUAGAAGAUAAUAUUGUUAGAAGGCUUACCUCAUUGAUGCUGAACAUCCUAAAAAGCUUCUGCUGCUUUGAGUCACUGAAAAAGACCAAGAAACAUGAAUUUAAAAAAAAAUUUCAAAUGUUAUAAAAUAAAUAAUAUGAACUCAUUAUACCUACAAUGAAUAAUUUAAAUUCUUCUUUGGUAGUCCAGCAUAGGUUUAGAAACUAUGAAAACCCUAGAAGAAAACCUAGGCAAUGCCAUUCAGGACAUAGGCACGGACAAAGAUUUCAUGACGAAGACGCCAAAAACAACUGCAACAAAAGCAAAAAUUGACAGAUGGGAUCUCAUUAAACUAAAGAGCUUCCAUACAGCAAAAGAAGCUACCAUGAGAGUGAACAGACAACCUAUAGAAAGGGAGAAAAAUUUUGCAAUCUGUUCAUCUGACAAAGGUCUAAUAUCCAGCAUCUACAAGGAACUUAAAUAAAUUUACAAGAAAAAAACAAACCCAUUAGAAAAUGGGCAAAGGACAUGAAAAGAUACUUCUCAAAAGACAUACAUGUGGCCAACAAUCAUACAAAAAAAACCUCAACAUCACUGAUGAUUAGAAAAAUGCUAAUCAAAACCACAACGAGAUACCAUCUCAUACCUGUCAGAAUGGCUAUUAAUAAAAAGUUAAAAAACAACAGAUGCUGGUGAGGUUGUUGAGAAAAAGGAAUACUGUUAUACUGUUGGUGGGAAUGUAAAUUAGUUCAACCAUUGUGGGAGACAGUGUGGCAUUUCCUCAAAGACCUAGAGGCAGAAAUACCAUUUGACUCAGCAAUCACGUUACUGGAUAUAUACCCAAAGGAAUAUAAAUCAUUCUAUUAUAAAGAUACAUGCAUGCGCAUGUUCACUGCAGCAUUAUUCACAAUAGCAAAGACAUGGAAUCAACCCAAAUGCCCAUCAAUAACACACUAGAUAAAGAAAAUGUGGUAUAUAUACACCAUGGAAUACUAUUCAGCCAUAAAAAGGAAUGAAAUCAAGUCCUUUGCAGGAACAUGAAUGAAGCUGAAGGCCAUCAUCUUCAGCAAACUAACACAGGAACAGAAAAUAAAAUACCACAUAUUCUCACUUACAACUGGGAGCUGAAUGAUGAGAACAUAUGGACACAUAUAGGGGCACAACACACACUGGGGCCUGUUGGAGGGUGCUGGGGGGAGGAGGCAGAGCAUCAGGAAGAAUAGCUAAUGGAUUCUGGGCUUAAUACCUAAGUGAUGAGAUGAUCUGUGCAGCAAACUACCAUAGUACAUGUUUACCUAUGUAACAAACCUGUACGUCCUGCACAUGUACCCCUGAACAUUAAAA
rnacentral:lncRNA from 10 species